CUGUUGGAUUGAUUGAGGAUGCUGUCCUGUCCCAACACGUGCUCCACCAGCCCGAAGCCCCGACCCCAUCUGAUGGAGGUGGAGACUCAGAUCGCCCUUAUACCUCGGCAUCCUGAGCCCUCGUGACUGCCUCGCCCCGCCCGCACCCCCUGCACCCCGAUUCUCCACGCGACGUUGCCACCAAGCUGGCCAGUCCCCAGCACGGGAACUUCCAGGAGACUAGCUGGAGAGACCAGCGGACCAUGGAAUCAGCGAACCCUACGAUCUUAUUUGGGAACCAAGCUGAAGUUAUUUCAGACCGUUCAGGCUAAGUCCUGUCCUCGCAGGCUGUUCGGCUGCUCUCUCCUGCCUCACCAGCGCCCUCUGCCGGCAUAUGACACAGUCAGCUCGCAAGUGGAUUCUCCAACAACCAGCCCAGCCUUCAGACAACUGUAGAAGCGGCCAACAUCCUGACUGCACCUCUUGAGAGACACGGAGUGAGACUCACGGAGCCGAGGUGUUCCCAGAUCCCGACCUAAGGAAACCAUGAGAAAGGACAUAUGGGGGCCAGCGCUGUGGCUUAGCAGGUAAAACUACCACAGGUUCAAGUCCUGGAUGCUCCAUUUCUGAUCCUGCUCUGUGCUGUGGCCUGGGAAAGAAGUAGAAGAUGGCCCAAGUCCUUGGGCCCCUGCACCCAUGUAGGAGACCCGGAGGAAGCUCCUGGCUCCUGGCUUCGGAUCAGCACAGCUCCGGCCGUUGCAGCCAACUGGAGAGUGAACAAGCAGAUGGAAGACCCCUCUCUCUCUCUCUCUCUCUCUCUCUCUGUAAC